UUUAUUCUUAUUUUUCUUCUUCUUUUUUAUAUCAUAUUAUUACGUUGCUUUUGAAGGAUAUUAGGUUAAGAAAAUGAAAGGUUGUUCCCUUGCUCAUAUUGUUCACUUCCUAUGGGGAUGCAUAGGGCUCAUUUGCCCCUCACCAUUGCUCAACUCUCCUCCUUCUCUUUUUAUAUUCUCUCUCUAAAGAGUAGACUUCUCCGGUCGUCCGAUUUUGAAACUUGUUCUUCGUACUCUUUUGCUCAAGUUUGAUUUCAGUUUUCGGCCUCCGACUUUGGGUUUCAACUUCUGGUUUUCAGCUUUCCGGCUUUGAGCCUUUUCUGGUUUUCAGCCUCCGGCUUCAAGCCUUUCUUUGGGUUUCAACCAGUUGGGUUUGGUAAGUUGGCCAAUUGGGUUUUCGGACUCUGAGAUUUUGGCUUGGGGUGUUUUGCCGAGAUUUCGGCUUGGGGUGUUUUGCCGAGGAGGUUUUCGGUCAGCUGGGUUUUUGGCCAAAGGUGUUCUUCAAAGAAGGUUUUCGGUUAUUACAAUGGAUUUCUCCUUGUUAGAUUUGGCAGAGGACGAAGAAUUUAUUAGAGCCUAUCAGUCAGAACUAGUAGCAGCAGAGGUUUCUCCUACUACAACCUCAUCUGACUUGCCUUAUACUUCUCGCCUCUCAGCUACCCGGUUGACCUCUACAGUCUGCUAAGAAGAUAUUGCAGAUAUAUCAUUAAUCUUCCGUAUUCCAAAAGUGUUUAAAGAGUACCCUUGUUAAGAAGAACAAAUGGUCAAUGAUAUAGUGACAAAAUGUAGAUGUAUUAUAGUCUACGUAGAGCAGCUGAAGACGGGCUACACUUUCUCUUAGAUCUUUUUGUUGUGCAGGUGUUGUCCCCCUUUCAUCCCAGUGUAGCUCAAAUCCAUCCCAAUGAUUGGAGGAUUUUACUUUCGUUCAUGUCUCUUUGUCGGUUUCAUUGCAUAACGCCCUAUGCUCGUGCGUUUGCUUCGAUGUAUGCCUUGUCUCAUAGGAGAGCUGAAGUUUUUUACUAUUUCAUUCCUAAAAAAGGAAGCGGUCUCUUUGAUGAUUUUCCUCAGUCUCUUAAAAGCUGGAAAUCAAAAUUUUUAUUUUGAGGCAUCCUUCACAGGAGGGUUAGGGUAGCUUUCUUGAUAGUUGGAAUUUUCAUUCGUAGAGGUUCAAAGGGACUCUUCAAAUGACAGAGGAUAAAUUUAUUGUUUAUUUACAUCUCUUGGCCAUUGCCUCAUUCCAAAGGAAACAACCCUAUCAGCCUUUUAUUCAUUCUGAAAAUAGAGCUCAUCUGAUUAGUGUUAUUGGUCUAUCUCCGGAGGAGACUAAUGAUGGUAUUUAUUCUUCGUUCUUUAUCUUUUUAUUCUCUUUUCUAACUUAAUGAUUUUCAUUUUCCUUUGCAAAGAUGGUUGGGGAUAACGCUUCGUGGAUGAGGAAACUUGUAGAAAAAAGGAGAAAAGAGGCGAGUCAAUAGGACCCUUUUAAGAGAUCCAUGACCGUCAGAGAGUCUUCCAAUCCAAAUCCUACUCCUCAGGUUCAAAUCAAUCCUGAAACUCCUUCUCAAUCGGCUGGCACUAGGGUUCCUCCUAUGCCUUCUUCUCCUACUUUUGACAGAUUAUUGAGGGGUCACUCUAUGGUUGUCAACAAUUACCUUCUGGCCGAACAUAUAGGAAGGAAGAUUAUGCUUCCUAGAGACUGAGAAUGACUUGACACAGAGGAUGCUCUGGCUACAAGCUUGGAGGCUAUGACUUGUUCAAACAGAAAAAGAGAGAUUACGUAGGCUUAGAGGAGAGCCUAUGGGGAGCUUCAAGCAUAGAACAUCCUCCUCAGCACCGAAAUGGGUAAUCUGCAAACCUCUCACAAGAACAUUAAGGCAAAGCUGGUGAAGUUUUAAUCCAGCUUAAGGAGAUGACCCUUUCAAGGGAUGCCGAGAGAACAUGCUAUAAGGAGCCUGAAAGGAAAGUGGAUGCUGCUAAUGACAGGAUCGCGGAUAUUUAUAUGAGUUUGCAAGGUUCAAUCAUGACUAAGUUACAUCAUCAGGAUCUUGUUGGGACUAUAGUUAGGUUCUAGACAUGACUCAGGAGGCGACUAUGACCGCAAAUGAGGAGUCUCAUCACAAGAGUAGCGGGAAUGAGAAGUAGGUCACUAGGUUUCAAAAUUUGUAUUUUAGCUCUUUAGACUCUAUCCAAUUGUUCUUCUAUAAUUUCAUUGUUCAUUUGCCUAGUCUAGUAUCCACUUUAUGUUUACAUUAUAUCGAACUUUUUGCAUAAUAAAAAAAGGCCGCCAAUUUCCUA